UACGUAUGGAGCAAGCGUUAUCCGGAUUUACUGGGUGUAAAGGGAGCGUAGGCGGCAUACCAAGCCUGAUGUGAAAACCCGGGGCCCAACCCCGGGAGUGCAUUGGGAACUGGCAAGCUAGAGUGUCGGAGAGGCAGGCGGAAUUCCUAGUGUAGCGGUGAAAUGCGUAGAUAUUAGGAGGAACACCGGUGGCGAAGGCGGCCUGCUGGACGAUGACUGACGCUGAGGCUCGAAAGCGUGGGGAGCAAACAGG
rnacentral:rRNA from 1 species